rnacentral:rRNA from 1 species
AUUGAACGCUGGCGGCAGGCCUAACACAUGCAAGUCGAACGGUAACAGAAAGCAGCUUGCUGCUUUGCUGACGAGUGGCGGGCGGGUGAGUAAUGUCUGGGAAACCGCCUGAUGGAGGGGGACAACUACUGGAAACGGUAGCUAAUACCGCAUAACGUCGCAAGCCCAAAGAGGGGGAACUUCGGGCCUCUUGCUAACGGCUAUGCCCAGAUGGGUUUAGCUAGUAGGUGGGGUAAAGGCCCACCUAGGCGACGAUCCCUAGCUGGUCUGAGAGGAUGACCAGCCACACUGGAACGGAGACACGCUCCAGACUCCUACGGGAGGCAGCAGUGGGGAAUAUUGCACAAUGGGCGCAAGCCUGAUGAAGCCAUGCCGCGUGUGUGAAGAAGGCCUUCGAGUUGUAAAGUACUUUCAGCGGGGAGGAAGGGAGUAAAGGUAAUACCUUUGCUCAUUGACGUUACCCUCAGAAGAAGCACCGGCUAACUCCGUG